rnacentral:lncRNA from 1 species
AAAACUUUAGUUAACGGUAUAGGAAUGGUUUUAAGUCAAGCUAAUUUAGCUCUUACUUUAGAGGGUCAAACUUACCUUCAGGACCCCUAAAUGUAUGCUGACUAGGAAAACUGAGGAGUCAACAUCCACAACAAGUUUCAAUUCUUCCAAAGCAGCUGCGUUUGCUGAAUUUGCUGUGGAAAUGAAGAGAUGGUGCGAUGACGAAAGGAGGAAAGAGGAAGCAAGCCAGAAAAGAAUAAGAAUGAGAGAGAAAAGAAAAAGCACCACUGUGCACAGCCGUCUCAAAAUCAACCACCUGCAUUCUGACACCCCUAUCUGUAGCAUCUCCGAUUGAUAAAAAGAGAGCCAAUUCAGAGAUGAUGAAUGCAACAUUUUUCUCCUGGAAUGAUAAAGCGCACGCUGGACCGUAAACUGCA